rnacentral:rRNA from 1 species
GACGAACGCUGGCGGCGUGCCUAAUACAUGCAAGUAGGACGCAGUUGCGAACGAGUGAGUAACGCGUAGGUAACUGCCUAUUAGAGGGGGAUAACUAUUGGAAACGAUAGCUAAUACCGCAUACUAGUAGAUGGCACUGCGUUGUAUUAGCUAGUAGGUAGGGUAAUGGCCUAACUGGGCUACGAUACAUAGCCGACCUGAGAGGGGGAGCGACCACACUGUGACUGAGACACGGCCCAAACUCCUACGUGAGGCAGCAGUAGGGAAUCGUCGGCAAUGGGGUGAACCCUUACCGAGCAACGCCGCGUGAGUGAAGAAGGGUUUCGGAUCGUAAAGCUCUGUUGUUAAGGAAGCGUUACUUAACCAGAAAGGGACGGCUAACUACGUGCCAGCAGCCGCGGUAAUAC